GACAAACGCUGGCGGCAUGCCUAACACAUGCAAGUCGAACGGACAGAACAGGGAAGCUUUUCGGAGUGGAACUGGAAAGUUAGUGGCGGAUGGGUGAGUAACGCGUGGACAACCUACCUUGUAAAGGGGAAUAACCUCGAGAAAUCGAAGCUAAUACCCCAUAAUAACCUUGCUUCGCAUGAAGUAAGGAGGAAAGGCGGCCUUAGCGCUGUCGAUACAAGAUGGGUCCGCGUCUGAUUAGCUAGUUGGUGAGGUAAAGGCUCACCAAGGCGACGAUCAGUAGCCGGCCUGAGAGGGUGAACGGCCACAUUGGGACUGAGACACGGCCCAAACUCCUACGGGAGGCAGCAGUGGGGAAUCUUCCGCAAUGGGCGAAAGCCUGACGGAGCAAUGCCGCGUGAGUGAAGAAGGCCUUCGGGUUGUAAAACUCUGUCCUUAUCGAAGAGAGAGUGUUGUAGUGACUGACAAUACUAGGACGGUAGAUGAGGAGGAAGCCCCGGCUAACUAUGUG
rnacentral:rRNA from 1 species